ensembl:lncRNA
UGUUUCGCCAUGCCAGAGAUGUUACUGCAUGAUGUUGGUCUUUGAUAAAUGUUUGACUGUCAGAUCUACAAGCAGAAGUACUUCAGCCCAUUUCAUCCAACACAUCGUCUCCCAACACACUUAUUUCCAUCCAGGGGAAGAGAUAGUAACAGAGGUAAGAUGAGGAUUCUCUGGAGAUCCAUAAUUCCCUGAAUGUUUUAGUCUGAAGUGCUCCUUAGAAGAGUGUGCAGUAUAAUACCCGCUUUGAUGAAAAGGUUUUUUUUUUUUUUUUUGGUUUUGUUGAAGACAGAACAAACAGCGAGAGGCAAGCUCUCUUGAUAACAGUCCCAUAAAUCAUAAAUACUGCAUUUUUCAUGUGUUCUUCUCUUUCCACUUGUGUGUGUGUGUGUGUGUGUGUGUUUUUAGUACCUGAUUAGAUGGUGCGAAGAUACUUUUAUAAAUAACCAGAACCUGUGCCAUGGGCCUUAAGGUUUCCUCUAACAACCUAUCUAAUUAAUUCCAGUGAGAGAGAGAGAGGGAGAGUAAGAGAUAAUGAGAGAGAGAAGGUAGAUUAUUCAUAAAAUAAGAAUAUUUGUAAUGGGUGAAAUAGUGGUCAGGACAUGUAUCACUGUACAUAGUGAGAAUGUCUCAGACUAAGUCAAUGCUUCACAGGGAAGAUGUGGAAACAUGCCAAACCCUCCUGACCCAAAUUGUUCGAUGAGAUAAAUUUUGGCAAAGGGAGCUCGCGGUGCCCUUUUCAUGCUGCCAAGGGAUUUUAACACUGGCAUUUGUUGAUCCAACUAAACUCCCAGUGACUUCCUGGAGACUGACGGGUAUGAGAAGCACCAAAGGCACCCAAAGAACACCCAUGUGGUCUCUGCACCAAUUAGGGCAACUAAAACGAUUUCAAAUGUUUUUAUUCAUUGGCUUAAAGCUGUAGUUAUAUUACAUGAAUCCUUGGCAACUAACUAAAAUAAGUUUAAGAAUAAGAACUAAAAUGACUAACUGGAAAUUAAUAAAUACUAAAACUAAACUAAACUGAAAGAAAAA